rnacentral:rRNA from 1 species
AGUCGAGCGAACGGACGAGAAGCUUGCUUCUCUGAUGUUAGCGGCGGACGGGUGAGUAACACGUGGAUAACCUACCUAUAAGACUGGGAUAACUUCGGGAAACCGGAGCUAAUACCGGAUAAUAUUUUGAACCGCAUGGUUCAAAAGUGAAAGACGGUCUUGCUGUCACUCUAUAGAUGGAUCCGCGCUGCAUUAGCUAGUUGGUAAGGUAACGGCUUACCAAGGCAACGAUGCAUAGCCGACCUGAGAGGGUGAUCGGCCACACUGGAACUGAGACACGGUCCAGACUCCUACGGGAGGCAGCAGUAGGGAAUCUUCCGCAAUGGGCGAAAGCCUGACGGAGCAACGCCGCGUGAGUGAUGAAGGUCUUCGGAUCGUAAAACUCUGUUAUUAGGGAAGAACAUAUGUGUAAGUAACUGUGCACAUCUUGACGGUACCUAAUCAGAAAGCCACGGCUAACUACGUGCCAGCAGCCGCGGUAAUACGUAGGUGGCAAGCGUUAUCCGGAAUUAUUGGGCGUAAAGCGCGCGUAGGCGGUUUUUUAAGUCUGAUGUGAAAGCCCACGGCUCAACCGUGGAGGGUCAUUGGAAACUGGAAAACUUGAGUGCAGAAGAGGAAAGUGGAAUUCCAUGUGUAGCGGUGAAAUGCGCAGAGAUAUGGAGGAACACCAGUGGCGAAGGCGACUUUCUGGUCUGUAACUGACGCUGAUGUGCGAAAGCGUGGGGAUCAAA